rnacentral:rRNA from 1 species
UGGGCAACCUGCCCCUAGCUCUGGGAUAACUGCGGGAAACUGUAGCUAAUACCGGAUGUGACACGAGACUGCAUGGUCUUCGUGUGGAAAGAUUUUAUCGGCUAGGGAUGGGGCCCGCGGUCUAUCAGCUUGUUGGUGGGGUAAUGGCUCACCAAGGCGACGACGGAUAAUCGGCCUGAGAGGGCGACCGGUCACACUGGGACUGAGACACGGCCCAGACCUCCGUACGGGAGCAG